rnacentral:misc_RNA from 1 species
ACAAACUUGGUCAUUUAGAGGAAGUAAAAGUCGUAACAAGGUUUCCGUAGGUGAACCUGCGGAAGGAUCAUUAUUGUACUAUGGUCACCAACUCGGCAACACCAAGUUGGUGAUAUUUAGUACAUUGUGGCUUAACUGGGUUUUUUUUAAUUAAAAAAACCCCAAUCCUAAUUCUUAUAAUCUUUAUAAUUCAAAAACCAUAUAAUUAUAUAAAAAAGAUCACUUUCAACAACGGAUCUCUUGGCUCUCGCAUCGAUGAAGAACGCAGC